rnacentral:rRNA from 1 species
CCUACGGGUGGCAGCAGUGAGGAAUAUUGGUCAAUGGGCGCGAGCCUGAACCAGCCAAGUAGCGUGCAGGAUGACGGCCCUACGGGUUGUAAACUUCUUUUAUAAAGGAAUAAAGUGAGGCACGUGUGCCUUUUUGUAAGUACUUUAUGAAUAAGGAUCGGCUAACUCCGUGCCAGCAGCCGCGGUAAUACGGAGGAUCCGAGCGUUAUCCGGAUUUAUUGGGUUUAAAGGGAGCGUAGGUGGGUUGUUAAGUCAGUUGUGAAAGUUUGCGGCUCAACCGUAAAAUUGCAAUUGAUACUGGCAGUCUUGAGUACAGUUGAGGUAGGCGGAAUGCAUGGUGUAGCGGUGAAAUGCUUAGAGAUCACGAAGAACUCCGAUUGCGAAGGCAGCUUACUAAGCUGCCACUGACAUUGAGGCACGAAAGUGUGGGUAGCAAACAGGAUUAGAUACCCGAGUAGUC